UGGCCCUUGCUCCAGUUCUUCUCCCUUCAAUCAGAUCACUGCUGUGUUGGUUCAGCAGCGUUUGGCGCACACAUACCGAUAACAAGAUGUCGCGAUAAGAUAAUGCACACCGUGUGCUUUCACGAUCGCGUCUACUGUUAGGACACAUUUUGAAAGGCAAACUGUACCAAUUUUAGGCUAACAUCACGAAACGGUUAUUUGAGGAGAGAGGUUCUCGAUGUUAGCGAAACAAAACGAUUCCUUUCCACCGCAGUGUGAUAGACAUAGCGCCAUGAAGUACAACUUUGUUUGGUUCGAUUCCGAUUCCGAAUAGUGCUGUCACGGACCAAUCCAGGGAGAUCCAGGGGAUGUUGGAAAAGCAAUUUAAGAUGUUGUAAAAACUGUUCAAUUAACUAUCGCCCACUAACCAAAGUUGAAUUCGGAGUUAAAUUCGGAGAUUACACCGGAGUUAAUUCUGGAUUCAGCUCCGGGAUUAGCUCCGCAGUUACUCGGAGUCAACUCCGGAGUAAUUCGGUGUCAACUCCGGAGUAAUUCGGAGUCAACUCCGGAGUAAUUCGGAGUCAACGCCGGAGUAAUUCGGAGUCAACGCCGGAGUAAUUCGGAGUCAACUCCGGAGUAACUUGGAGUCAACUCUGGAGAAACACUGAGUCAACUCCGGAGUAACUCGAAAUAAAAUCCAGAGUAACUCGGAGUCCACUCUGCAUUUUUUCCGGAGUUGAAUCCGGUUUUUAUACUUCACAGUCGGAGUGAAUUGAUGAAUCCACUCUGGAGUUCCCACCACUAAUGUGCACUACUCAUGACCAUAAAAAACAUCGAAACUAAACAACCUUUAAAGACCGCAGAAAAGCAAAACAAAAAAUCUAGUAAAAAAAACAUAUUACAACUUUCAUCUCGUAGUAGAACCUUCAUCCAUUUAACCCAUCCUUAUGGGUGGGGAAAAAGGGAAAAAAGGAAGGGGUAGUAGAGGUAUGUAUUUAUUCCGUAAUAAUGUUUCUGUACACCGUUUAAUCUUUGUUCGUAUGUGGCAUAUUUCUUACAAAUAUCGUUCCUACUAGCUAGUGAAACAAACCUACUCCAACUAUCUGCCCUGUACACGCACUUGCGCAUGAAACGAAUGUAUUACAGCAAAUUUUAAAGGAGUUAAUGUCGGUAUAUGGUUACGGGUUUUACGGGAAAUACGGUUACUAAAGAACUGAGAAUAUUAGGUAAUUAGUGCAAAAUGUAUCUCUUUUUCAUUUUGUUUUGUUUAAUUGCAAAUAGUUACGUUUAGCAAAAGAAAGAAGGAUAUGCAAGAAAUAGUUCGUAUAUGAAAUAUGGACAUAUGGAAAAAAGUUUGGAGAACUAUCAGGUUUGACAUACUACGGGCGUUGUGUAAGUGCCUAAACAAACAAAUACGAAACAAAUGAACGACGAAUGAAAAAAAAAACGUUUAGCUUUUUUAAUUUCAGUAAUGAUUGAAA